GAGUUUGAUCGUGGCUCAGAUUGAACGCUGGCGGCAUGCCUUACACAUGCAAGUCGAACGGCAGCAUGAUCUAGCUUGCUAGAUUGAUGGCGAGUGGCGAACGGGUGAGUAAUACAUCGGAACGUGCCCUGUAGUGGGGAUAACUAGUCGAAAGAUUAGCUAAUACCGCAUACGACCUGAGGGUGAAAGUGGGGACCGCAAGGCCUCAUGCUAUAGGAGCGGCCGAUGUCUGAUUAGUCUAGUUGGUUGGGGUAAAGGCCCACCAAGGCGACGAUCAGUAGCCGGUCUGAGAGGACGAUCAGCCACACUGGGACUGAGACACGGCCCAGACUCCUACGGGAGGCAGCAGUGGGAA
rnacentral:rRNA from 1 species